AAUAAACACGACAAAUCGCAAAAAAAGGACUUUGUGCAAUUUAUUUUGCCAAGUAAAAUUACUUGUCGCCUGGAGGGAUGGAUAUGUUGUGGCAUGGGUAUCCACUGCACUUACGGGGCAGGGUAUCCUUGCGAGUAGAGCUAUGUGGGGAAACAUGUGGAUGGGUGGACGCUCCAAUUUGGACAAACAACAACAAAGGCGGUGGCACACUCAAAGUGAACGCCAUGUCACGGAAAAUAUUAAAAUUAGCUUUAACAUGUCUUCGUUUGUGUGCAGUGCAGUGGCUCACAUUUUGCCUUUGGUGCGAAAUGUUGCAAUCAAAAAUUGGCUGACGAUCCUGCCCCUCCGCCCACUCAAAAAAGAUGAAAGGCGAAACGAAGGACUAGAUUGGAGCGGGCUAGCUAGCACAAGUAAAAGCCGGAAAACUUUUGAUGCUGUUUGCUACUUUUCACAUCAUUUCCCUCGCCGCUUUUGAUUUCAGGACGGGUCGAGGACAUGGACACUUUUCCAUUUCUCUCGGUUUGUCAGUCAAUUUUUGCAGAUUCCAGCUGAUAAAAACUCUGUGAUUGGCUCUCGGCUUUGGCAAGCAAAUUAUCAUAGUCCUGCACAGAGAAAAACAAGGCUGCCUUACAGUUAACAGCUUAAACAAUGCAAUGGUUGAUGAUUAAAUGUAUGAGGUGCAAAGUAUCAAUUCAUGAAAUAUAUGAUAGACUUAAGACAUUA